rnacentral:rRNA from 1 species
GAGGGUGAUCGGCCACAUUGGAACUGAGACACGGUCCAAACUCCUACGGGAGGCAGCAGUGGGGAAUAUUGCACAAUGGGCGAAAGCCUGAUGCAGCAACGCCGCGUGAGUGAUGAAGGCCUUCGGGUCGUAAAACUCUGUCCUCAAGGAAGAUAAUGACGGUACUUGAGGAGGAAGCCCCGGCUAACUACGUGCCAGCAGCCGCGGUAAUACGUAGGGGGCUAGCGUUAUCCGGAUUUACUGGGCGUAAAGGGUGCGUAGGCGGUCUUUCAAGUCAGGAGUGAAAGGCUACGGCUCAACCGUAGUAAGCUCUUGAAACUGGGAGACUUGAGUGCAGGAGAGGAGAGUGGAAUUCCUAGUGUAGCGGUGAAAUGCGUAGAUAUUAGGAGGAACACCAGUUGCGAAGGCGGCUCUCUGGACUGUAACUGACGCUGAGGCACGAAAGCGUGGGGAGCAAACAGGAUUAGAUACCCCGGUAGUCCACGCUGUAAACGAUGAGUACUAGGUGUCGGGGGUUACCCCCUUCGGUGCACCAGCUAACGCAUUAAGUAGUCCGCCUGGGAAGUACGCUCGCGAGGAUGACACUCAAAGGAAUGGAAGGGGACCCGCACACGUAGCGGAGCCGGUGGGUUAAUUCGCAGCAAAGCGAAG